GGUCAAGCGAAUAAGCGCACACGGUGGAUGCCUUGGCGGUCAGAGGCGAUGAAGGACGUGGCAGCCUGCGAAAAGUAUCGGGGAGCUGGCAACAAGCUUUGAUCCGGUAAUGUCCGAAUGGGGAAACCCACCCGCUUGCGGGUAUCCUGCAGUGAAUACAUAGCUGCUGGAAGCGAACCUGGUGAACUGAAAUAUCUAAGUAACCAGAGGAAAAGAAAUCAACCGAGAUUCCGUAAGUAGCGACGAGCGAACGCGGACUAGCCCUUAAGCUGGAUUGGUUCUAGGAAAAUGCUCUGGAAAGAGCAGCCAUAGAAGGUGAUAGCCCUGUAUCUGAAAGGGCCAUUCCAGUGAAGACGAGUAGGGCGGGGCACGUGAAACCCUGUCUGAACAUGGGGGGACCAUCCUCCAAGGCUAAAUACUACUGACCGACCGAUAGUGAACCAGUACCGUGAGGGAAAGGCGAAAAGAACCCCGGAGAGGGGAGUGAAAUAGAACCUGAAACCGUGUGCGUACAAGCAGUAGGAGCUCCGCAAGGAGUGACUGCGUACCUUUUGUAUAAUGGGUCAGCGACUUACUGUUCGUGGCAAGCUUAACCGUAUAGGGGAGGCGAAGGGAAACCGAGUCUGAUAAGGGCGCAUAGUCGCGGGCAGUAGACCCGAAACCGGGUGAUCUAGUCAUGCCCAGGGUGAAGGUGCGGUAACACGCACUGGAGGCCCGAACCCACUCCCGUUGCAAAGGUAGGGGAUGAGGUGUGAUUAGGAGUGAAAAGCUAAUCGAACCCGGAGAUAGCUGGUUCUCCUCGAAAGCUAUUUAGGUAGCGCCUCAUAUGUAUCCUCUCGGGGGUAGAGCACUGUUAUGGCUAGGGGGUCAUCGCGACUUACCAAACCAUUGCAAACUCCGAAUACCGAGACGGACUGUAUGGGAGACACACGGCGGGUGCUAACGUCCGUCGUGAAAAGGGAAACAACCCAGACCCACAGCUAAGGUCCCAAAUUUUGUGCUAAGUGGAAAACCAUGUGGAAAGGCACAGACAGCCAGGAGGUUGGCUUAGAAGCAGCCACCCUUUAAAGAAAGCGUAAUAGCUCACUGGUCGAGUCGGUCUGCGGGGAAGAUUUAACGGGGCUAAGCACAGAACCGAAGCUUGGGGUGCAUAACUUUGUUAUGCGCGGUAGAGGAGCGUUCCGUAAGCCGUUGAAGGUGGAUUGAGAAGUCUGCUGGAGGUAUCGGAAGUGCGAAUGCUGACAUGAGUAACGAUAAUGCGGGUGAAAAACCCGCACGCCGAAAGCCCAAGGUUUCCUUGCGCAACGUUAAUCGGCGCAGGGUGAGUCGGCCCCUAAGGCGAGGACGAAAGUCGUAGUCGAUGGGAAGCAGGUUAAUAUUCCUGCACCUCGCGUAAGUGCGAUGGAGGGACGGAGAAGGUUAGGUGUACCAGGCGUUGGUUGUCCUGGGGAAAGGCGGUAGGUUUGGAUCUUUGGCAAAUCCGGGAUCCUUUAAGACCGAGCACCGAGACGAGCCUUUAUGGCAAAGUCACUGAUACCACGCUUCCAGGAAAAGCUCCUAAGCUUCAGCUUACGCAGACCGUACCGUAAACCGACACAGGUGGGUAGGAUGAGAAUUCUCAGGCGCUUGAGAGAACUCGGGUGAAGGAACUAGGCAACAUGGCACCGUAACUUCGGGAGAAGGUGCACCCUUUUUGGUGGCUCGUGCGAGCUAUAGCUGAAGAGGGUCGCAGUAACCAGGCCGCUGCGACUGUUUAUCAAAAACACAGCACUCUGCAAACACGAAAGUGGACGUAUAGGGUGUGACGCCUGCCCGGUGCUGGAAGGUUAAUUGAUGGGGUCAGCCGCAAGGCGAAGCUCUUGAUCGAAGCCCCAGUAAACGGCGGCCGUAACUAUAACGGUCCUAAGGUAGCGAAAUUCCUUGUCGGGUAAGUUCCGACCUGCACGAAUGGCGUAACGACAGCGGCGCUGUCUCCACCCGAGACUCAGUGAAAUUGAAAUCGCUGUGAAGAUGCAGCGUUCCCGUGGCAAGACGGAAAGACCCCGUGAACCUUUACUAUAGCUUUACACUGAACGUUGAGUUCGUCUGUGUAGGAUAGGUGGGAGGCUAUGAAACCAUGGCGCUAGCUGUGGCGGAGCCAUCCUUGAAAUACCACCCUGUCGUGCUUGACGUUCUAACCUGGGCCCAUUAUCUGGGUCGGGGACCGUGUAUGGUGGGUAGUUUGACUGGGGCGGUCUCCUCCUAAAGAGUAACGGAGGAGCUCGAAGGUACGCUCAGCGCGGUCGGACAUCGCGCACUGUGUGCAAAGGCAUAAGCGUGCUUGACUGCAAGAUCGACGGAUCAAGCAGGUAGGAAACUAGGACUUAGUGAUCCGGUGGUUCUGUAUGGAAGGGCCAUCGCUCAACGGAUAAAAGGUACUCCGGGGAUAACAGGCUGAUACCGCCCAAGAGUUCAUAUCGACGGCGGUGUUUGGCACCUCGAUGUCGGCUCAUCACAUCCUGGG
rnacentral:rRNA from 1 species